UUAUCACAUCCUUAUAGUGCA
rnacentral:siRNA from 1 species